UACGUAGGGUCCAAGCGUUGUCCGGAAUUAUUGGGCGUAAAGAGCUCGUAGGCGGUCCGCUAAGUCGGAUGUGAAAUCUCACGGCUCAACCGUGAAACUGCAUCCGAUACUGGCGGACUUGAGGCAGGUAGGGGAAGGUGGAAUUCCUGGUGUAGCGGUGAAAUGCGCAGAUAUCAGGAGGAACACCAGUGGCGAAGGCGGCCUUCUGGGCCUGUAACUGACGCUGAGGCGCGAAAGCGUGGGGAGCAAACAGG
rnacentral:misc_RNA from 1 species